AACCGCUGAAAGCAUCUAAGCGGGAAGCCAACCUCAAGAACAGAUAUCCCUUCCGCUGGGAAACCAGCGGAACUGAAGACCCCUUGGAGACUACAAGGUUGAUAGGCCGGAUGUGUAAGUGCGGUAACGCAUUAAGCUGACCGGUACUAAUAGGUCGUGCGGCUUGGCCAC
rnacentral:ncRNA from 1 species